CAGUAUUUGGAGUGCAGGGAUGAGCCUGGAGUUGGAGGAUGUGUAAGGCUCUCUCUUUUACCAAUAAUACAAACUGGGAGAUCCACCUAAUGUUGUCUCUUAAGUCAUCAAACAACAGAUGUUUGAAGCUGGCACCUACUUGCAGUCAUACAGUGAAGUAUCUGUACAAUUCAUGGCCUUUUUCCUUCAUCUAGAUCUAAUCAGAAGUGUCACAUCAUCAUCGUAUUCAAAAAAGAUGUUUCAGAUGCUUAUUCAAACAAGAUUUGUAGUUCAGCCCAUGCCUCUCUCUAAAGGAAAAAUAAGCCUCCCAAACAGAAACUCAACAUUCUGCUAUUCCAAGAGUAGUAAAAUUGUGUCUUCACGAUGGCAAUGAAUCUAUUUUCUUCUAGUAUUCUGGGUCAUUUUAGAAAGCUCUUCCUGAAAUCUGUGUUUCUGUAAGGAUUCUCUGUCAGCAGACAAGGACAAUGAUGUUGAAAUCUGCUGGGACUGGCUGCAGUUACAUCUUAGAUGUGUCUGUGGAAAAACUGGCUCUCUAACUUCACGGGAUGUGGCUGUCGAAGGCUUGAGCAUUGAUUCUCUGAAGAAUUUGUUUGGAUCUGGAGCAGCUCUGCAGCUUCCUGCUGCAUGGGGACUUUGCUCUUCAGCAUAGAAGAGCCUGGCUUUUUUCCAGAUCUUCAGGCACAGAUCAUUGAAAUGAUCACAGUACUGAAGAUGAAGGCUUUCCUAGUCAUCACUGAUUCUACCAGAGCCAUCUGUGAUAAGCAAAUUGAACACUGGCUUGUUUCUCCCAGAAAGUGGGAGGAGGGAUUGCAGAUGAGCAUUUAGGGAAAAGUCCAUAGUUUAAAAGCUGGAUUUCUGAAAUGAAAGCUACUACAAGCCUCUGCUCCCAGGAAAAUCACUCUUUAUUAGAAAUCAGCACACUUAACUGGCAUUCAAUUAAGGCAACAUGAAUACAAAUGAUUUACUUGUAACCCCUUGGAGGGAAGGAGUGGGUGUUUCUAUAGGUGGUAAAAUCCUUUUCUCCACUUUCUGAGUAUACUGGUUUUAUUUUAAUAAUAGACACUUUCUCACCCUUUUUAAUAUCUGCAUUGUGAUUUAUUAUAAAUAAAAAAAAUGAUCUAAUUAUAUUAAAAUUAGAAAAUGCUUUGGUUGUAUUUUAAAUGAGUACAAGAUUAAAGAAUAUGUG
ensembl:lncRNA